rnacentral:rRNA from 1 species
CUGCUUUUGUCAGGGACGAAAAGGACCGUGUUAAUACCAUGGUCUGCUGACGGUACCUGAAGAAUAAGCACCGGCUAACUACGUGCCAGCAGCCGCGGUAAUACGUAGGGUGCAAGCGUUAAUCGGAAUUACUGGGCGUAAAGCGUGCGCAGGCGGUUCUGUAAGACAGAUGUGAAAUCCCCGGGCUCAACCUGGGAAUUGCAUUUGUGACUGCAGGACUAGAGUUCAUCAGAGGGGGGUGGAAUUCCAAGUGUAGCAGUGAAAUGCGUAGAUAUUUGGAAGAACACCAAUGGCGAAGGCAGCCCCCUGGGAUGCGACUGACGCUCAUGCACGAAAGCGUGGGGAGCAAACAGGAUUAGAUACCCUGGUAGUCCACGCCCUAAA